UCGCGGAAUGUGGUGUUUAGGAGGACCGUGCGCGUCUGUCCGGUAUCGUCCAAGUCUCCAUGAAUGGGGCCAGCAACCCAGAGAGGGUGUCNNGCCCGUGGGACGAGCCGCGACGGCGUAUUGGGUCUCUCCUUAGAGUCGGGUUGCUUGAGAGUGCAGCCCUAAGCGGGAGGUAAACUCCUUCUAAGGCUAAAUACGGCCACGAGACCGAUAGCGAACAAGUACCGCGAGGGAAAGUUGAAAAGAACUUUGAAGAGAGAGUUCAAUAGUGCGUGAAACCGUUCAGGGGGUUAAACGGGUGGGCCCUCGAAGGUCGAACGGUCCCCAUUCCAGUCAUUCGCAGGCCGGUCCGCGUCGUUUAUCCGAUCUCGCUACGGGACGGUGCGGCGCGGGUCGCCGGUCUACGAGGGCCGCAAGUUGGGGACCCAGUAGGACUCCGCAACCGUCUGGGAGGCCGUCAGAAGGGUUCCGGUAGGAAGCCCCCUCGGGGGUGGACUCUGGGAUUUCCGGGCGGUCCUCCCGGCCGUAAACCUGCAUUCUCUCGAACGGUGCGUGGGACGAGCCUCGGUUCGCAAGGGCCGGGGUUGUCGGUUUCACAGCCGCCGGGAGACGCGGCGGAGAGUAGAGUCGGGUCCCACCCGACCCGUCUUGAAACACGGACCAAGGAGUCUAACAUGUGCGCGAGUCGUCGGGUUUGACUAAACCCGAAGGCGCAAUGAAAGUGAAGACCGUCCUCGUUGGCGUGUCUAGGGGAGAUCCCGU
rnacentral:rRNA from 1 species